rnacentral:rRNA from 1 species
CUAAGAAUCUUCCGCAAUGGGGGAAACCCUGACGGAGCGACGCCGCGUGGAUGAUGAAGGCCGUAAGGUUGUAAAAUCCUUUUGUUGGUGAAGAAUAAGCGGGGGAGUGGAAAGCCCUCGUGAUGACGUUAGCCGACGAAUAAGCCCCGACUAAUUACGUGCCAGCAGCCGCGGUAAUACGUAUGGGGCAAGCGUUGUUCGGAGUUAUUGGGCGUAAAGGGCGUGUAGGCGGCUCAUCAAGUCUGGUGUGAAAUCGACAGGCUUAACCUGUCAUAUGCGCUGGAAACUGGUGGGCUUGAGUUCUUGAGGGGAAGCUGGAAUUCCAGGUGUAGGGGUGAAAUCCGUAGAUAUCUGGAAGAACACCGGUGGCGAAGGCGAGCUUCUAUCAGAGGACUGACGCUGAGGCGCGAAAGCGUGGGGAGCAAACAG